rnacentral:rRNA from 1 species
AUUGAACGCUGGCGGCAGGCCUAACACAUGCAAGUCGAGCGGAUGAAGGGAGCUUGCUCCUGGAUUCAGCGGCGGACGGGUGAGUAAUGCCUAGGAAUCUGCCUGGUAGUGGGGGAUAACGUCCGGAAACGGGCGCUAAUACCGCAUACGUCCUGAGGGAGAAAGUGGGGGAUCUUCGGACCUCACGCUAUCAGAUGAGCCUAGGUCGGAUUAGCUAGUUGGUGGGGUAAAGGCCUACCAAGGCGACGAUCCGUAACUGGUCUGAGAGGAUGAUCAGUCACACUGGAACUUGGACACGGUCCAGACUACUACGGGAGGCAGCAGUGGGGAAUAUUGGACAAUGGGCGAAAGCCUGAUCCAGCCAUGCCGCGUGUGUGAAGAAGGUCUUCGGAUUGUAAAGCACUUUAAGUUGGGAGGAAGGGCAGUAAGUUAAUACCUUGCUGUUUUGACGUUACCAACAGAAUAAGCACCGGCUAACUUCGUG